AUGCCGCAUACUUGUGAUGUUGCCGGAUGCCCCAAUGAUGCAUGCCGCAACAGGGGAACCAAUCUGUCUUUUCACUGGAUUCCACAGAAUGAACCCAUACGCUCGAAGUGGCUGAAUGACACGCCUUUGCGCCAGAGUGCUAAACAGUCAGACUGUGUGUGUGUGGUUGCUGCAUUUUUGUGAUGAGGACUACAAGACCAACCGCAACUUGGCCGAUGCUUGCAACGUGCCCCUCCGACCAAAGCUUUGCCCUAGUGCCGUCGCAUGAAUAUUUCCCAAGUCCGAGAGUCAGCUCGACACCCUGCCCGAGUUUCCUGUGUCCGACGACUUGCAACAACUUCUGUGGGACGACGACGUGGUGUGGGGGUAGCACCACGAGAAACUUCUGACACAGCUGCGCGAGACUAACUUACCGCUUUGUGGUGAUGGACGGAGAGAUUCUUUGGGUCAGAGUACCAAAUACCUGACAUACUCCUUCCUUGGCCCGAUUAAAAAAGAAAUCAUCCACGCGGAGCAAAUGCAAGUGAAGGAGAGUGAACAAGUGAAGGCGAGUGCCACAAUGGAGAAGGAAGGCCUUUGAAAAGGUCUGAAAUUUCUUUCGGACCAUGGAAUGACAGUGAAGUCACUCACGCUAGACCGCCACUCAGGCAUACAAAAAUACACGCGGCCGCAGUUCCCAGGAAUUGGUCCCUCCUAUGAUGUGUACCAUGUUGGAAAAGGUGCGAUAAAGUCGUUCUGCUCUCAUGCUAUA